UACAGCCAUAUCAUGUUGAAACACUGAUUUUUGUGCAAUCACUGGAAUUAAGCAACAUUGAGCCUGGUCAGUACUUAGAUGGGUGACCACUUGGGAAUACCAGAUGCUGUAAG